rnacentral:rRNA from 1 species
UACGAAGGGGGCUAGCGUUGCUCGGAAUCACUGGGCGUAAAGCGCACGUAGGCGGCUUUUUAAGUCAGGGGUGAAAUCCUGGAGCUCAACUCCAGAACUGCCUUUGAUACUGAGAAGCUUGAGUCCGGGAGAGGUGAGUGGAACUGCGAGUGUAGAGGUGAAAUUCGUAGAUAUUCGCAAGAACACCAGUGGCGAAGGCGGCUCACUGGGCCCGGUACUGACGCUGAGGUGCGAAAGCGUGGGGAGCGAACAGG